rnacentral:rRNA from 1 species
CCGGAAUUAUUGGGCGUAAAGGGUCUGUAGGUUGCUUAUUAAGUUUGUAGUUAAAGACUAGGGCUCAACCUUAGAAAAGCUGUAAAUACUAAUUAGCUAGAGUAUGGAAGGGGUAGAGGGAAUUUCUAGUGUAGUAGUAAAAUGCUCUGAUAUUAGAAGGAACGCCAGAGGCGAAGGCGCUCUACUGGAACAUUACUGACACUAUAAGGCGAAAGCUAGGGGAGCGAAAGGGAUUAGGUACCCCUGUAGUCCUAGCCGUAAACGAUGAAUACUCAGAUUCGGAAAAGCGUAUCUUUUUCGGAUUUCAAGCUAACGCAUUAAGUAUUCCGCCUGGGGAGUACGCUCGCAAGUGUGAAACUCAAAGGAAUUGACGGGGGCCCGCACAAG